UACAGAGGUGGCGAGCGUUGUUCGGAUUUACUGGGCGUAAAGCGUGCGUAGGCGGUCGCGUAUGUCGGAUGUGAAAUCCCGGGGCUCACCCCCGGAAGUGCAUCCGAAACUGCGCGGCUAGAGGCCGGGAUGGGUGACUGGAACACAUGGUGUAGCGGUGAAAUGCGUUGAUAUCAUGUGGAACACCGGAGGCGAAGGCGAGUCACUGGAACGGAUCUGACGCUGAGGCACGAAAGCGUGGGGAGCAAACAGGAUUAGAUACC
rnacentral:rRNA from 1 species